ACAAACUUGGUCAUUUAGAGGAAGUAAAAGUCGUAACAAGGUUUCCGUAGGUGAACCUGCGGAAGGAUCAUCAAAGGAGGGGGUGGGGGAGGUCCUGAGGGAUUUUCUUUCUCACCCAACCAAUCUUGUGUGAACUGUAACGAGCAUACGCGUGGGUGUGUUGGUGGGGAAGUCUCUUGCCCACCGCCAUCACGCUUGCACAACUCUAUCUCAUUCACCACCUUGUCUAACCUGUCACAAAUAACAACACAACUUUUAACAAUGGAUCUCUUGGCUCUCGCAUCGAUGAAGAACGCAGC
rnacentral:misc_RNA from 1 species